ensembl:lncRNA CASC15 cancer susceptibility 15
ACGCCAAGGACUGGGGAAGGGGAAGUUAGGAAUACCUUACAUCCAAUGCCCACCCGUGCUCCGCAGGGCAAGGGCAGCCGUCGCCUCGGCCGCGUGCACCCAGCUCAGGCUGUUCCCAGGGAUUUAGUCUGGGGGGACAACCCAUGGCGAGAUGUGGUGGCAUUUUACCUCAGAGUGGAGCUGAAGAUGGAUAAACAAGCACAGAUCAAAUUCUGGGAGUUUACAUUUCUGAAACUUGGGUCAAGGUCCUGGCCAGUCCUCAACAAGAGCAACCGUGUGGACAUCUGUGGCAAUGUCAGAUUCACUCGAUCCCAAGACAAGAUGCUCUUUGAUAAUGGACUAGAGGAAAGGGUGAAAGAAUGGUUUAGAGCCAAUUCAAGAAAGAACAAUCUGAUUCACACUUGGAGGAGGACACAGGAGCUGAAUCAGAUGGGGCUGUGGUGCCUGGGGAGGAAAUUAACGAAGAGACAAUGAAGAUGACAUGGAAUUCAUCAACAUGCUUUCCUUGAUCUACACAACCGCCUGCCCCAUGCUGCUGGCAGAGCAGUCUGUUCUCUUGGCCUAUGCAGAUGCCAUAGUAUACAAGUGUUAAAAUUGUGGUGGAUCCCAGAAGCGUGCAGACAUGUUCAGAUGUGUCCAGAGUUCCUUUCUUCUGGUGGGUUCGUGGUCUCCCUGACUUCAGGAGUGAAGCUGCAGAUCUUCAUGAGACGGAGUUCUCACUACGUUUUCCAUGCUGAGUGUGAGCUCUUGGCCUCAAGUGAUCCUCCCACUUCUGCCUCCUAAAGUGCUGGGAUAACAGUGAAUAACAUAAGGACAACAACCAAUCACCAAAAGACUUUGAAAGAUGCCCAUAAAUUCUUAACGUAGUGAUUUGUUGACUGAAGAGCUAGCUGUGACGUUUGACCUUCAAGUAUUACUCCCAGUUAAUACAUUGUAGUCAUUGAAAUUUGAAUCAUACUGUUGGAGACUGAUGUUGUUUAAAUAAAUCAUGGAAUCAUUCCGCCACAAGCGAACGAGCCUGGGCUGGCCUUGUGGAAGCCUAGCCGAGGCCUCAGAAUAUGGAUGAGAUCAUCUGAGACCAUCCACCCCAGGAAGCCAGCAAAGUGGCUAGAACCCGCCAUACCACCGCAGAAUCACGAUUGCUGUUCUGAGUCACUACAUUUCAGGUGACUUGUUGAGCAGCAAACGAGCUGACGAACCUAAAGUCAGAAGAUGCUAGCGGAAGAAACAGGACCCAGAACUCCAUUGGAAAAUGGGGUAUACAGACUUCGAGGAUGCCAGACAAAAAGAUCAUUUGAAAUAUUGUUGUCACUAAGCCUUCUUUGAUCAAGACACCAUGAGCUCAUGACAAACGCCUCAAUUUCCUUCUUCUGUAAAUAAAUUAAUACCUGGUGAGAUGUAAAAGCCCACUUGAACGGAAAACAACAUGUUUGAUGAAAUUCUGAGAGAAGAUACAACCCAAGGUAUGAAAAAUUCAGAACAAA